CCUACGGGAGGCAGCAGUGGGGAAUAUUGCACAAUGGGGGAAACCCUGAUGCAGCGACGCCGCGUGAAGGAAGAAGUAUGUCGGUAUGUAAACCUCUAUCAGCAGGGAAGAAAAUGACGGUACCUGACUAAGAAGCCCCGGCUAACUACGUGCCAGCAGCCGCGGUAAUACGUAGGGGGCAAGCGUUAUCCGGAUUUACUGGGUGUAAAGGGAGCGUAGGCGGCGGUGCAAGUCAGGAGUGAAAGCCCGGGGCUCAACGCCAGGACUGCUUUUGAAACUGGGUGGCUUGAGUGCAGGAGAGGUAAGUGGAAUUCCUAGUGUAGCGGUGAAAUGCGUAGAUAUUAGGAGGAACACCAGUGGCGAAGGCGGCUUACUGGACUGUAAAUGACGCUGAGGCUCGAAAGCGUGGGGAGCAAACAGGAUUAGAUACCCGAGUAGUC
rnacentral:rRNA from 1 species